ACAUACCUUAAUUGGUAGAGCAUUAGACUCUUAAUCUCAGGGUUGUGGGUUCAAGCCCCAUGUUAGGUU